rnacentral:rRNA from 1 species
UGUGACUCGUCACACUAUCAUUAACUGAAUCCAUAGGUUAAUGAGGCGAACCGGGGGAACUGAAACAUCUAAGUACCCCGAGGAAAAGAAAUCAACCGAGAUUCCCCCAGUAGCGGCGAGCGAACGGGGAGGAGCCCAGAGCCUGAAUCAGCAUGUGUGUUAGUGGAAGCGUCUGGAAAGGCGCGCGAUACAGGGUGACAGCCCCGUACACAAAAGCGCAUGUGCUGUGAGCUCGAUGAGUAGGGCGGGACACGUGGUAUCCUGUCUGAAUAUGGGGGGACCAUCCUCCAAGGCUAAAUACUCCUGACUGACCGAUAGUGAACCAGUACCGUGAGGGAAAGGCGAAAAGAACCCCGGCGAGGGGAGUGAAAAAGAACCUGAAACCGUGUACGUACAAGCAGUGGGAGCACA